rfam:Ailuropoda melanoleuca scaffold2498_8, whole genome shotgun sequence.
UAAAAGGCUCUUUUCAGAGCCAUCCAUCUAUUCACAAGAAAAGCUG